UACGUAGGGUGCGAGCGUUGUCCGGAAUUACUGGGCGUAAAGAGCUCGUAGGUGGUUUGUCGCGUUGUUCGUGAAACUCACAGCUUAACUGUGGGCGUGCGGGCGAUACGGGCAGACUGGAGUACUGCAGGGGAGACUGGAAUUCCUGGUGUAGCGGUGAAAUGCGCAGAUAUCAGGAGGAACACCGGUGGCGAAGGCGGGUCUCUGGGCCGAUACUGACGCUGAGGAGCGAAAGCGUGGGGAGCGAACAGG
rnacentral:rRNA from 1 species